rnacentral:RNase_P_RNA from 1 species
CGGGAAGUCCGUGCAGCCGCGCUGGUUCUUUCGAGCCAGUGAGGAAAGUCCGGACACCACCACGCAGCGUGCUCGAUAACGUCGAGGCGGCAAUGCAAUCGCCCCGUUGCGAUGCAAAGCCGACGGAUAGUGCCACAGAAACAAUACCGCCCCGACCGCAUGUCGGUUGGGGUAAGGGUGAAAUGGUGCGGUAAGAGCGCACCGCACACGUGGUGACACGUGUGGCAGGGUAAACCCCACGCGGUGCAAGACCGAGCAGAUGCGUUCGUCCUGCGGCGUGGCAGGCGCUUCCUCCUGGGAAGCACGCAUCGGGUAGGUCGCACAGGAGCGGCGCAGCAAUGCACCCGCCAAGGUUCAUGGCUGCAGGCGUGUCCUCACCCCAAGGGGGACCGUCACAGAAUCCGGCUUACAGGACUUUUCGCCCG